rnacentral:misc_RNA from 1 species
GUUCACAUUGCUAUUAUUAAUUAUUGCAAGUUACAAAGUGGAGAACGGGGAAAUUUCAACUUUUUUGAAAGAAAUGAUCCGUCAGACUACAACAACUUAAUACAGAGAAAUCAACUAGGAGAGAGAUGAGAAGAUAUAACAAAAAUGAAUGGAAGAUAAAGAGUGCAUGCAUGAUCAGAGAGCAAGAGUCUGGCGCUCUGGGUCCGAAACACGAGUCUCAUAGAACCUGGCAAUGAAUGCUGAAGCUCUACCGUCGAUCCCUGGAUCUGCAAUCCAACGUCUGCCAUCUUCGUCACUGGGACAUAUUCUUCUAACAUAGAAACCAUCUUCGCUAAUAUCAUCGCUGCCAUGUGAACAACAGGCCUUGAAGAUGUUGAAGAUAGAGAAGCAAGAAGGUUUCCUCCGCCUGCCGUUGCCUCCCAUAUGAUUGCUUGCUUCUUACUGAUUAAUUAAGUAAUGUUGAAUAUUUAGAAGU